CAGUAGCCGCGGUAAUACGUAGGGUGCGAGCGUUAAUCGGAAUUACUGGGCGUAAAGCGUGCGCAGGCGGCUUUGCAAGACAGAUGUGAAAUCCCCGGGCUCAACCUGGGAACUGCAUUUGUGACUGCAAGGCUAGAGUGCGGCAGAGGGAGAUGGAAUUCCGCGUGUAGCAGUGAAAUGCGUAGAUAUGCGGAGGAACACCGAUGGCGAAGGCAAUCUCCUGGGCCUGCACUGACGCUCAUGCACGAAAGCGUGGGGAGCAAACAGGAUUAGAUACCCCUGUAGUCCCUGUCUCUUAUAC
rnacentral:rRNA from 1 species